rnacentral:rRNA from 1 species
CGAACGCGAAAGCCCCGCAAGGGGCAAGUAGAGUGGCAAACGGGUGAGUAACACGUGGGUGACCUGCCUUCGAGCGGGGGAUAACGUCCCGAAAGGGACGCUAAUACCGCAUAACAUCCUGCCUUUGAAGAGGUGGAGAUCAAAGCUGGGGAUCGCAAGACCCGGCACUUGAAGAGGGGCCCGCGUCUGAUUAGCUAGUUGGUGGGGUAACGGCCUACCAAGGCAACGAUCAGUAUCCGGCCUGAGAGGGCGGACGGACACACUGGGACUGAGACACGGCCCAGACUCCUACGGGAGGCAGCAGUGGGGAAUUGUUCGCAAUGGGCGCAAGCCUGACGACGCAACGCCGCGUGGAGGAUGAAGAUUUUCGGAUCGUAAACUCCUGUCGAAUGGGACGAAUAGGUUGCGGGUUAACAGCCCGUAAUCCUGACGGUACCGUUAAAGGAAACCCCGGCUAACUCCGUGCCAGCAGCCGCGGUAAUACGGGGGGGGUAAGCGUUGUUCGGAAUUACUGGGCGUAAAGGGCUCGUAGGCGGCCAACUAAGUCAUACGUGAAAUCCCUCAGCUUAACUGGGGAACUGCGUGUGAUACUGGAUGGCUUGGAUUUGGGAGAGGGAUGCGGAAUUCCAGGUGUAGCGGUGAAAUGCGUAGAUAUCUGGAGGAACACCGGUGGCGAAGGCGGCAUCCUGGACCAAUAUUGACGCUGAGGAGCGAAAGCCAGGGGAGCAAACGGGAUUAGAUACCCCGGUAGUCCUGGCCCUAACGAUGAAGGCUUGGUGUAGCGGGUAUCGAUCCCUGCUGUGCCGAA